UGCAUGAAGUCGGAAUUGCUGUAAUCGCGGAUCAGCAUGCCGCGGUGAAUACGUUCCCGGGCCCUUGUACACACCGCCCGUCACACCAUGGGAGCCGGUAAUACCCGAAGUCAGUAGUCCAACCUCGUGAGGACGCUGCCGAAGGUAGGAUUGGCGACUGGGGUGAAGUCGUAACAAGGUAAC
rnacentral:rRNA from 1 species